rnacentral:rRNA from 1 species
UACGGAGGGUGCGAACGUUAAUCGGAAUCACUGGGCGUAAAGCGCGCGUAGGCGGUCUGUUAAGCGGGAUGUGAAAUCCCCGGGCUUAACCUGGGAAUUGCAUUUCAAACUGGCCGACUAGAGUACGGUAGAGGGAGGUAGAAUUUCCUGUGUAGCGGUGAAAUGCGUAGAUAUAGGAAGGAAUACCAGUGGCGAAGGCGGCCUCCUGGAUCGAUACUGACGCUGAGGCGCGAAAGCGUGGGGAGCAAACAGG